CAGGGACGGGAUGACGGUGUGUUUGUAACAUCAGUGUGUUUCGUGAAGACUACCCUCUCUACCAUCACAGCAUGAUCAAAGUCACCGUUUACCACGCAGGGAGGAGCCUGCAACAAGGAGCUUUCUGGGUUUCACCUCCUUCUCCAUCAGAGAUCUGCUCCGGUCCAAGGAGCCUCACGUCUCCCUGAGCCUCAGGACGAUGGACGGAGUGAACGAGGUCGGGGAGGUGAAGGUGUCCCGUCUGCAGAUGGAGGGAGAGAGCGAGACGCCUCCUGGACACAAGUGUCCCGCGCUGUGCGACAGUCUUCACACUUCGGUCCACGACAAAGAAAACAGUCCGAUGAUGAGAGCAGGUGAGACACAAACACAGUAAACAGUUUUUGUUGAAGGAUGUUGUGCCCUUAUAUGACCUUUCCUUCCUGU